UACGUAGGGUGCGAGCGUUGUCCGGAAUUAUUGGGCGUAAAGAGCUCGUAGGCGGUUUGUCGCGUCUGCUGUGAAAACCUAAGGCUCAACCUUGGGCUUGCAGUGGGUACGGGCAGACUAGAGUGCGGUAGGGGUGACUGGAAUUCCUGGUGUAGCGGUGAAAUGCGCAGAUAUCAGGAGGAAUACCAGCGGCGAAGGCGGCGCUCUGGGCCGGUACUGACGCUGAGGAGCGAAAGCGUGGGUAGCAAACAGG
rnacentral:rRNA from 1 species